GCGCGGCGCGCGGCGCGGCCUGUCCGCCAUGGCGAAGACCGUGGCCUAUUUCUACGACCCGGACGUGGGGAACUUCCACUACGGCGCGGGGCACCCCAUGAAGCCGCACCGCCUGGCGCUCACGCACAGCCUGGUGCUGCACUACGGCCUCUACAAGAAAAUGAUCGUGUUCAAGCCCUACCAGGCCUCCCAGCACGACAUGUGCCGCUUCCACUCCGAGGAUUACAUCGACUUCCUGCAGAGGGUGAGCCCCAACAACAUGCAGGGCUUCACCAAGAGCCUCAACGCCUUCAACGUGGGUGAUGACUGCCCAGUGUUUCCAGGCCUCUUUGAAUUUUGCUCUCGUUACACUGGGGCCUCCCUGCAGGGAGCAACACAGCUGAACAACAAGAUCUGUGACAUUGCCAUAAACUGGGCAGGGGGUCUCCAUCAUGCCAAAAAGUUUGAGGCUUCAGGCUUCUGUUACGUCAACGACAUCGUGAUCGGCAUCCUGGAGCUGCUCAAGUAUCACCCCCGGGUGCUGUACAUCGACAUCGAUAUCCAUCACGGGGACGGCGUGCAGGAGGCUUUCUACCUGACAGAUCGUGUCAUGACAGUGUCAUUUCACAAAUAUGGCAACUAUUUCUUUCCUGGCACAGGUGACAUGUAUGAGGUUGGUGCAGAGAGUGGCCGUUACUAUUGUCUCAACGUGCCCCUCCGAGAUGGCAUCGAUGACCAAAGUUAUAAGCACCUCUUCCAGCCAGUCAUUAACCAGGUGGUAGAUUACUAUCAGCCUACCUGCAUAGUCCUGCAGUGUGGUGCUGAUUCUCUGGGUUGUGACCGACUGGGAUGUUUUAACCUCAGUAUAAGAGGUCAUGGGGAGUGUGUGGAGUAUGUGAAGAGCUUCAACAUUCCCUUGCUGGUGCUGGGAGGAGGAGGUUACACGGUGCGGAACGUGGCUCGCUGCUGGACUUAUGAAACCUCCUUGCUCGUGGAUGAACCAAUUAGUGAUGAGCUCCCCUACAGUGAGUACUUUGAGUACUUCGCUCCAGACUUCACCCUUCACCCUGAUGUCAGCACGAGGAUUGAGAAUCAGAACUCCAGGCAGUAUCUGGAUCAGAUCAGGCAGACCAUAUUUGAGAACCUGAAGAUGCUGAACCAUGCUCCCAGUGUGCAGAUCCACGACGUGCCCUCGGACCUGCUCAGCUACGACCGCACGGAUGAGCCUGAUCCAGAGGAGAGGGGCUCAGAGGAAAACUACAGCAGGCCUGAAGCUCCCAACGAGUUCUACGAUGGUGACCACGACAAUGACAAGGAGAGCGACGUGGAGAUCUGAGGGCUCUGGGCUGCGGGGCCUCCCGCCAUGGACAUGGAUGCUUGCAGCACACAACUGGGCCCUGCAGGAGCCACUUUAGCCCUCUCUCCAUCUUGGACUGCGUGUGGUGGCAGCAGAGCCAGCCCCACUGAGGGCUCCUGCCACCUGGAGAGGCACAGAGGUGACGUGUGCUCCUUACUUGUCCCCACGUCACGGUUCCGGCCGUCACCGCUGUGGGCACGGAGCCCUGCUGAGUCCUGGCUGGCAGCUGUGGGACUGCCACAGAGCCUGAGCCACCUCCAUGGUGCCCAUGCAGGCUCCUGCCAGCCAGCUGGGAGCUGGAGCAGCUGUGCCUCCGAUCUCUGCCUCUCUGCAGCACUUGGGAUCCAUCCUGCUGUCCCUGACCUGCACUCAGGUACCACCCUGCUGUCCUCUGCAGCCUGCACUGAGAGCUGCUCCUGCUGUCCCUUCUAAGCAGCUGAUGCUCCACAGCUCCAGGAAUUAUUGGAUAAGACCAGUUGUGGGGUAGGGAUGUACUUGGAGCAGCUCAGUGGAGUGGAUGGAAGGAUGUGUGCAGAGCAUGACAAGGUCAUUCCUUCCCCCCAAACCCAGAUCUGCAUUCACAAACGAGUUCUGCAGCACUUUGCUGAGUUGGACACAACCUCCCUGUUGUGUUUAUUCCUUGGGAGGCUUAAAGCCCUGUGGAGCAGAGGUUUGGCUGCCCAGGCUCGAGCAUGUCCCUGGCAGGGCAGUGUCAUCCACUGCCUGAAGGAAUGGAGGGAAUUCUGCUCCUCAGAGUAAAUGUUGGCUUUACCUGCCUCUGCCCUGGCUGUGAGCCCCAAAACACAGCAACCCCAAGUUAAUAAACUCACUGCACCAUCUGCUGGAGCUCAGGCUGUUCCCAGAGGUGGGAGCUUUGUGCACCCCUGUGUCUGGGUAGGAAAUUUGGAUAAGAACAUCCUUGUUGUUUUGGGUGCUCUGGGAAGUGUUUGUCCCUUCCCUGGUUCCCAGCUGUGUUUAUCAGAGCCUGGAGGGAACUUCCCACCUCCCAAACUUUCUGUAGCACAGCUGGGAUGUUUGGCUGCUGUUUACACCUCCCACCAGUGCCUGCUUGCCCUGUAGCACACACUGGCACUGGCAGGAGCUGGUUUUGGGAUGUGCUGCCCAGCCAGGUCUGGCUCUCACUCCCCAAACCCUGUUCCUCACUCCCCUCAUCCCAGCAGGCCCAGGGAAUCAGGAGCAUUCCCUGCUGCCCCUCCAGGCACUGCCACAGCCCAGGCUGGUGCCCCAUUCCCAGGGUAAGGGGCAGCACAGCCAUGGGGGUGUCACCUCUUCCCCUUCUCUGAUCUUUUAGGGAAUGAGAGUUGGGGGAUAGAAAAGUGCUUUCAAUCUUCUCCCUCCCUCUGUGCUGAGCAAAGGGGGAACUUGGCAGGCCCUGACCCACCUGAGUGUGCUAUUUUAUUUUGUGUUAACCAAAUUUCCCAGGUGGAGAUGUCCAUGGGACUGGGGAGUGUGGAUUUGAUUGCCCUGGGGCAGAAUUCAGCUGCAGGAAGGAAAAGCAGAGGUGUUUCCUGCAGGUCUGUGCUGGGCUCAGCCCUGCCUGUGUGGGACAGGUCAGUGACAGUUCAGGUGCUGCAGGGGGCUGGGCAGGGGUGCCAGGGCACUGCAGAGCCCCUCAGGGGCAGCUCUGUGGCCUGGCUGUCACCAGGAGCAGAGUUUGCUCCUGUGGCUUCCCUCUGUGAACUUCUGGCCUAACAAAUCCUGUGCCACCCCUCCCCAGUGCUCCCAUUUCAGUUUAAAUCCCCCACCCUUGUCCUGUUAGCACAGGCUCUGGUUCAAAGGCUCUCUCCACCUUCCCUCUAAACUCCAUCAGCACCAGGGGCUGCUCAAAUCUCCCUUCCAAGCACAGCAUUAAUGAAUUCAUCUCAGCAUUACCCCACUACCCUCACUGUGCAUUUCCUCUGUCCAGUCUAAACCUCCUUCUUCCAGUUUAAACCCUUCCUCCUCCUCCUCCUCCUCCUGUCAUGGCAGGCCCUGAUAAAAAGUCUCUCUGCACUUCUCUUAUCAGCCCCUUCCAAUGUGGGAAGCCCCAGAUAAGGUGUCCCCACACAGUCCCCCCAGUCUGAUGUCACAUUAAACACUGCAGGUCCCAGGAUGGACCAGCCCAAAGUCAGGCCAGGUCAAUCCAAAGUUAGGGAUUGUUCAGGGCAUUUUGCAGUCAAGUUGGAGUCCCUGCAAGGCCAGACAUUUUCCAAGCUCCUCUCUCAGCAUAACUAAAAAAACCCCAAAAAUUAUUUUUUGUUUAGUUGGUAGAAUUUGCUGUGUUUUUUGAAGGAUAUUUUGUAUUAUUAUUUCAGAUUAUUUUUGGAGUAUGAGGAAAUGGGAUUAAUUUUUUGUUUGUAUUUUGUAAAGAUUUUUUUUUUUUUAGGUUUUGAGGGUUUUUUUUGGUUUUUUGCAUAAGGAACUGGUUGUUGCUUUUGUUGUAUAUUAUUAGAACUGGAAGGUGUAAUAACAGGAGUGAUUAGAGGUGGAGGUUGAAUGUUUUGUUGGUUUUAACAUGGUGUUGGUGGAAGGAUGUAGGUAUUGUUUAUGGAAGUAUUUAGGGUGUUGUUACUUUGUUGUGUGGAAGUUUUUGAGAUGGUAUUCUGUGUUUAGAUUUAGAUGUUUAUUAUUUUUUAUUUCUAUAAUAAGUUGUGACUUGCUGGUUUCCAUUUGGACCUGGAGAUGUUGUCUUGUAACUCCUGGAUGCAGCCCCCCAGGAAUUCCUUACCCAUCUCACAUAAUGCAGAGCAAUUCUGCAAGUCAGUGACCCCUCAGGUCCCUGAGGUCAGAUCCAGGAUGGAUUUAGCUCCUGACACGUGGAUUUGGAGAUGCCCUUAAAGGGCAGUGGGACUUCACUCACCCAAGCUGGGGCUCAGGGCCCUGAGCUCCUCAUGUGGACCAAAAUCAAAGUUUCUCUUGGGACUGAAGCUUUGGGGUUUCCUGGCAGUGCUGGGGACCAGUCCCAAAAUUCCUGUUCCUGGUUCUCUGCUUGUCUUUCCAGCAUCCCUGAGUGCUCUUCCCAUGCCCUCAGAUUCCCAGGAUUCUCUGGCAUCCCUUCCCCUUGCUCACAGAUAUCUGCCUGCAGGCAUCAGGGGCUUCUGUAGCCAAAGCCUCCCUCCCCUUCCUUGUCCAUCCCAGUGUCCCCAGCUCUGUCCCCUCAGAGGCCUUUGGGAUUCUGUGGCUCCUCUCUCCCUCCAUCUGUUCCUGAUGUGCCAACGUUGGCUGAGAAGUGGCAGCAAACAGGGACAGAACCUUCUCUGUGCCUCUGGAAUAUUCUCAGGAAAAAUGGACAAAUCUGUCCAAAACCAGGAGCUGGUAAAUCCAAAAGUUUCUGCUGAGGAGAAGGAGCAGGGGGAGCUCACCAGGGUCCUUCUUCACAGGAUGAUUUUUACUCAAAGGUUCCUCUGGAGGGCUCAGGCCCAUUCCUCCUGCCCCAGGUAAGGCCAAUCCAAAGUUAGGGAUUGUUCAGGGCAUUUUGCAGUCAAGUUGGAGUCCCUGCAAAGCCAGACCUUGUCCCAGCUCCUCUCUCAGCAUAUCUGAGCUCCCUUCUCUGCUAUUUAACCACCCUUGUGAAUGUAUUCUCUUUAAAUAAAUCAGGAUUUGCCUGAUGGGAGCUGGUGGCUCUCAUCCCUUCACCUUCUCCCUGCUCUUGCCUCCUCAUUUCCCUGGAUUGGGGUUGGGAACACCCCCUGGCAGCACCAGGGUGCUCUGGCAGGGCUCUGGGAGCAGCAGUGCUGGGAAGUUCUGGGAGAGGUUCUACAACAGCUUCUGUGGGCCAGAGAGGAGUUUGAGAAGAGGAUCCACGUUCACCCCUGAAAGAAUUUCCUACCAAGGUCACUGACACAGAAACCAAGAAAGAAGGAAGGAGAAAUAAAAGAAACCUGCAACUGCCUGCUCCAAUGAGCACUUUGUCUAUCUCCUGACCAAAGAGUAAAGUGCAAACCCAUGAGGUUUGUAAGAAUAAAAAUCGUGCAUGCUAUAAUAAAAACAGGUCUGAAGCCUUCUGCAAA